UGUGUGUGUGUGUUUUUUUUUUAAUAGUCUAUAGAAUUAGAAGGUAAGUCUACAUAAGUUAUAUUUACAUGUAACUAAAGUCUAAAAAGAUGACUCCACUUUCCCUCUAUAUUUAAAACCCGCUUACCAAUUUAAACAGCAUUUGCUCCCCUUGAAAGCUAAUUUGCCCCUUCCCCGUCAUUUCCCUUUAAAUUUGCUCAAAAGUCAUACUUAUAGUCCAUUUACA
rnacentral:lncRNA from 1 species